rnacentral:rRNA from 1 species
GACGAACGCUGGCGGCGUGCCUAAUACAUGCAAGUUGAGCGCUGAAGGUUGGUACUUGUACCAACUGGAUGAGCAGCGAACGGGUGAGUAACGCGUGGGGAAUCUGCCUUUGAGCGGGGGACAACAUUUAGAAACGAAUGCUAAUACCGCAUAAAAACUUUAAACACAAGUUUUAAGUUUGAAAGAUGCAAUUGCAUCACUCAAAGAUGAUCCCGCGUUGUAUUAGCUAGUUGGUGAGGUAAAGGCUCACCAAGGCGAUGAUACAUAGCCGACCUGAGAGGGUGAUCGGCCACAUUGGGACUGAGACACGGCCCAAACUCCUACGGGAGGCAGCAGUAGGGAAUCUUCGGCAAUGGACGAAAGUCUGACCGAGCAACGCCGCGUGAGUGAAGAAGGUUUUCGGAUCGUAAAACUCUGUUGGUAGAGAAGAACGUUGGUGAGAGUGGAAAGCUCAUCAAGUGACGGUAACUACACAGAAAGGGACGGCUAACUACGUG